GGGGUGUAGUAUAGUAGUGCUGUAUGGAGGGGGGUGUAGUAUAGUAGUGCUGUAUGGAGUGGUGCUGUAUGGAGGGGGGGUGUAGUAUAGUAGUGCUGUAUGGAGGGGGUGUAGUAUAGUAGUGCUGUAUGGAGGGGGUGUAGUAUAGUAGUGCUGUAUGGGGGGGUGUAGUAUAGUAGUGCUGUAUGGGGGGUGUAGUAUAGUAGUGCUGUAUGGAGGGGGUGUAGUAUAGUAGUGCUGUAUGGGGGUGUAGUAUAGUAGUGCUGUAUGGGGGGGUGUAGUAUAGUAGUGCUGUAUGGAGAAGUGUAGUAUAGUAGUGCUGUAUGGGGGUGUAGUAUAGUAGUGCUGUAUGGGGGGGGGUGUAGUAUAGUAGUGCUGUAUGGGGGGUGUAGUAUAGUAGUGCCGUAUGGAGGUGGGGUGUAGUAUAGUAGUGAUGUAUGGAGGGGGGUGUAGUAUAGUGGUGCUGUAUGGAGGGGGGUGUAGUAUAGUAGUGCUGUAUGGAGGGGGGGUGUAGUAUAGUAGUGCUGUAUGGAGGGGGG
ensembl:lncRNA